GAACUUGGAGCUUGCUCUGGGGGAUUAGUGGCGAACGGGUGAGUAACACGUGAGUAACCUGCCCUGGACUCUGGGAUAACUUCAAGAAAUCGGAGCUAAUACCGGAUAGGACCUUGCACCGCAUGGUGUGGGGUGGAAAGUUUUUCGGUUUGGGAUGGACUCGCGGCCUAUCAGCUUGUUGGUGAGGUAAUGGCUCACCAAGGCGUCGACGGGUAGCCGGCCUGAGAGGGUGACCGGCCACACUGGGACUGAGACACGGCCCAGACUCCUACGGGAGGCAGCAGUGGGGAAUAUUGCACAAUGGGCGCAAGCCUGAUGCAGCAACGCCGCGUGCGGGAUGACGGCCUUCGGGUUGUAAACCGCUUUUAGUAGGGAAGAAGCCUUCGGGUGACGGUACCUGCAGAAAAAGGACCGGCUAACUACGUGCCAGCAGCCGCGGUAAUACGUAGGGUCCGAGCGUUGUCCGGAAUUAUUGGGCGUAAAGAGCUCGUAGGCGGUUUGUCGCGUCUGCUGUGAAAACUAGAGGCUCAACCUCUAGCCUGCAGUGGGUACGGGCAGACUUGAGUGGUGUAGGGGAGACUGGAAUUCCUGGUGUAGCGGUGGAAUGCGCAGAUAUCAGGAGGAACACCGAUGGCGAAGGCAGGUCUCUGGGCACUUACUGACGCUGAGGAGCGA
rnacentral:rRNA from 1 species